UGUUUGGGGUCCGUAGGUCAGGGAUUGAAGUCAAGGUGUCGGGGUCGUAAGAGAGAAGGGAUUACGUUCACGGAGGGCAUUGGGGUCGUAGGUUAGAGGAUGACGUCAGGAAGGUGUUGGGGUGGUAGGAUAGGUGAGAAUGCCAUGAAGGUUUGCUGGGGAGUUAGGAUAGUGGAUGAUGCCAUGGAGGGUUGCUGGGUAUUAGGAUAGUGGAUGAUGUCAUGGAGGGUUGCUGGGGAGUUUAGGAUAGUGGAUGAUGUAAUGAAGGGCUUUGUGGUAGUAGGAUAGUGGAUGAUGUCAUGGAGGCUCUAGAGGGUGGUAGGCGGUUAGGAGAAGGGAUAGAUGAGGGAGGGAAGCAGAUUACUCAGUUUGAGGUCCAACUGAACGUAUGUGAGGUGGGUGGGGACUUAUUAAGGACUGGAUUUAGUUUUAAGGGAAGGGGGGCAGGGGAUAUCCAGGUGGGUGAUUAUGGGUGGAGGGGGGGCAGUUGGAGGUGUACAGGGGAUAUCCAGGUGGGUGAUUAUGGGUGGAGGGGUACAGGGGAUAUCCAGGUGGGUGAUUAUGGGUGGAGGGGUACAGGGGUUAUCCAGGUGGGUGAUUAUGGGUGAAGCUGGGCAGGUGGAGGGGUACAGGGGAUAUCCAGGUGGGUGAUUAUGGGUGGAGGGGUACAGGGGAUAUCCAGGUGGGUGAUUAUGGGUGGAGGGGUACAGGGGAUAUCCAGGUGGGUGAUUAUGGGUGGAGGGGUACAGGGGAUAUCCAGGUGGGUGAUUAUGGGUGGAGGGGGGCACUUCUCAGUCUGAAGUGUCUGAGUGUACACUGCUCUGUGCCUUGGUGGGAGGGUGGGGGUCCGGGCCGUCCUGCCUUCCACUGUUAACCUGUAAAAGACACAAUGGGGGAGGGAGUGAGAGAGGAGACCAAGACUUC
ensembl:lncRNA